rnacentral:rRNA from 1 species
GGUUAAGCGACUAAGCGUACACGGUGGAUGCCCUGGCAGUCAGAGGCGAUGAAGGACGUGCUAAUCUGCGAAAAGCGUCGGUAAGGUGAUAUGAACCGUUAUAACCGGCGAUGUCCGAAUGGGGAAACCCAGUGCAAUUCGUUGCACUAUCGUUAACUGAAUACAUAGGUUAACGAGGCGAACCGGGGAACUGAAACAUCUAAGUACCCCGAGGAAAAGAAAUCAACCGAGAUUCCCCCAGUAGCGGCGAGCGAACGGGGAGCAGCCCAGAGUCUGAAUCAGCUUGUGUGUUAGUGGAACGGUCUGGAAAGUCCGACGGUACAGGGUGAUAGUCCCGUACACCAAAAUGCACAGGCUGUGAACUCGAAGAGUAGGGCGGGACACGUGGUAUCCUGUCUGAAUAUGGGGGGACCAUCCUCCAAGGCUAAAUACUCCUGACUGACCGAUAGUGAACCAGUACCGUGAGGGAAAGGCGAAAAGAACCCCGGCGAGGGGAGUGAAAAAGAACCUGAAACCGUGUACGUACAAGCAGUGGGAGCACCUUCGGGUGUGACUGCGUACCUUUUGUAUAAUGGGUCAGCGACUUAUAUUCUGUAGCAAGGUUAACCGUAUAGGGGAGCCGCAGGGAAACCGAGUCUUAACUGGGCGUUAAGUUGCAGGGUAUAGACCCGAAACCCGGUGAUCUAGCCAUGGGCAGGUUGAAGGUUGGGUAACACUAACUGGAGGACCGAACCGACUAAUGUUGAAAAAUUAGCGGAUGACUUGUGGCUGGGGGUGAAAGGCCAAUCAAACCGGGAGAUAGCUGGUUCUCCCCGAAAGCUAUUUAGGUAGCGCCUCGUGAAUUCAUCUUCGGGGGUAGAGCACUGUUUCGGCUAGGGGGUCAUCCCGACUUACCAACCCGAUGCAAACUACGAAUACCGAAGAAUGUUAUCACGGGAGACACACGGCGGGUGCUAACGUCCGUCGUGAAGAGGGAAACAACCCAGACCGCCAGCUAAGGUCCCAAAGUCAUGGUUAAGUGGGAAACGAUGUGGGAAGGCACAGACAGCCAGGAUGUUGGCUUAGAAGCAGCCAUCAUUUAAAGAAAGCGUAAUAGCUCACUGGUCGAGUCGGCCUGCGCGGAAGAUGUAACGGGGCUAAACCAUGCACCGAAGCUGCGGCAGCGACACUAUGUGUUGUUGGGUAGGGGAGCGUUCUGUAAGCCUGCGAAGGUGACCUGUGAGGGUUGCUGGAGGUAUCAGAAGUGCGAAUGCUGACAUAAGUAACGAUAAAGCGGGUGAAAAGCCCGCUCGCCGGAAGACCAAGGGUUCCUGUCCAACGUUAAUCGGGGCAGGGUGAGUCGACCCCUAAGGCGAGGCCGAAAGGCGUAGUCGAUGGGAAACAGGUUAAUAUUCCUGUACUUGGUGUUACUGCGAAGGGGGGACGGAGAAGGCUAUGUUAGCCGGGCGACGGUUGUCCCGGUUUAAGCAUGUAGGCUGGUUAUCCAGGCAAAUCCGGAUAAUCAAGGCUGAGGUGUGAUGACGAGGCACUACGGUGCUGAAGUAACAAAUGCCCUGCUUCCAGGAAAAGCCUCUAAGCAUCAGGUAACAUCAAAUCGUACCCCAAACCGACACAGGUGGUCAGGUAGAGAAUACCAAGGCGCUUGAGAGAACUCGGGUGAAGGAACUAGGCAAAAUGGUGCCGUAACUUCGGGAGAAGGCACGCUGGUGUGUAGGUGAAGUCCCUGCGGAUGGAGCUGAGACCAGUCGAAGAUACCAGCUGGCUGCAACUGUUUAUUAAAAACACAGCACUGUGCAAACACGAAAGUGGACGUAUACGGUGUGACGCCUGCCCGGUGCCGGAAGGUUAAUUGAUGGGGUUAUCCGUAAGGAGAAGCUCUUGAUCGAAGCCCCGGUAAACGGCGGCCGUAACUAUAACGGUCCUAAGGUAGCGAAAUUCCUUGUCGGGUAAGUUCCGACCUGCACGAAUGGCGUAAUGAUGGCCAGGCUGUCUCCACCCGAGACUCAGUGAAAUUGAACUCGCUGUGAAGAUGCAGUGUACCCGCGGCAAGACGGAAAGACCCCGUGAACCUUUACUAUAGCUUGACACUGAACAUUGAGCCUUGAUGUGUAGGAUAGGUGGGAGGCUUUGAAGCGUGGACGCCAGUCUGCGUGGAGCCAACCUUUGAAAUACCACCCUUUAAUGUUUGAUGUUCUAACGUUGGCCCCUGACCGGGGUUGCGGACAGUGUCUGGUGGGUAGUUUGACUGGGGCGGUCUCCUCCCAAAGCGUAACGGAGGAGCACGAAGGUUAGCUAAUCCUGGUCGGACAUCAGGAGGUUAGUGCAAUGGCAUAAGCUAGCUUGACUGCGAGCGUGACGGCGCGAGCAGGUGCGAAAGCAGGUCAUAGUGAUCCGGUGGUUCUGAAUGGAAGGGCCAUCGCUCAACGGAUAAAAGGUACUCCGGGGAUAACAGGCUGAUACCGCCCAAGAGUUCAUAUCGACGGCGGUGUUUGGCACCUCGAUGUCGGCUCAUCACAUCCUGGGGCUGAAGUAGGUCCCAAGGGUAUGGCUGUUCGCCAUUUAAAGUGGUACGCGAGCUGGGUUUAGAACGUCGUGAGACAGUUCGGUCCCUAUCUGCCGUGGGCGCUGGAGAAUUGAGGGGGCUGCUCCUAGUACGAGAGGACCGGAGUGGACGCAUCACUGGUGUUCGGGUUGUCAUGCCAAUGGCACUGCCCGGUAGCUAAAUGCGGAAGAGAUAAGUGCUGAAAGCAUCUAAGCACGAAACUUGCCCCGAGAUGAGUUCUCCCUGAGACUUUAAGUCUCCUGAAGGAACGUUAAAGACGAUGACGUUGAUAGGCCGGGUGUGUAAGCGCAGCGAUGCGUUGAGCUAACCGGUACUAAUGAACCGUGAGGCUUAACCUU